AUACGUAGGGUGCGAGCGUUGUCCGGAAUUACUGGGCGUAAAGAGCUCGUAGGUGGUUUGUCGCGUCGUCUGUGAAAUUCCGGGGCUUAACUCCGGGCGUGCAGGCGAUACGGGCAUAACUUGAGUACUGUAGGGGAGACUGGAAUUCCUGGUGUAGCGGUGAAAUGCGCAGAUAUCAGGAGGAACACCGGUGGCGAAGGCGGGUCUCUGGGCAGUAACUGACGCUGAGGAGCGAAAGAAUGGGUAGCGAACAGGAUUAGAUACCCUGGUAGUCCAUGCCGUAAACGGUGGGCGCUAGGUGUAGGGGUCUUCCACGACUUCUGUGCCGUAGCUAACGCAUUAAGCGCCCCGCCUGGGGAGUACGGCCGCAAGGCUAAAACUCAAAGGAAUUGACGGGG
rnacentral:rRNA from 1 species